AGAAUUUGAUCCUGGUUCAGGAUGAACGCUGGCGGCGUGCCUUAGGUAUGCAAGUCGAACGAAUUUGCAGCAAUGCAAGUUAGUGGCGGACGGGUGAGUAACGCGUAGGAAUCUACCCAAGAGUAGAAAAUAACUUACCGAAAGGUGGGCUAAUAUUCUAUACUAUCUCCGGAUGAAAGGGCUUAACUGCCCGCUCAUGGAGGAUCCUGCGUCCUAUCAGCUUGUUGGUGUGGUAAAAGCGCACCAAGGCUAUGACGGGUAUCUGGACUGAGAGGUCGAUCAGACACAGGGGCACUGAGACACGGGCUCCACAUCUACGGAUGGCAGCAACCAGGAAUAUUGGGCAAUGGACGAAAGUCUGACCCAGCGACGCCGCGUGAAGGAUGAAGGCCCUAGGGUCGUAAACUUCUUUUGCCAAGCCCUUCACAGCUUGGAGAAUAAGCACCUACUAACUACGUGCCAGAAGUCUCGGUAAUACGUAGGGUGCAAGCGUUAUCCGGAUUUACUGGGCGUAAAGAGUGUGUAGGCGGUUUUUUAAGUCUUUAUUUAAAUCUUGAGGCUCAACCUCGAAACUGGUAAAGAUACUAUUGAACUCGAGGAUUAUUCGGGGUGCUGGAACAGUUGGUGUAGUAGUGAAAUACGUUGAUAUCAACUGGAACACCGAAGGCGAAGGCAAGUGCCUGGAAUUUUCCUGACGCUGAGACACGAAAGCUAGGGUAGCGAAACAGAUUAGAGACCUGUGUAGUCCUAGCCGUAAACGAUGGAUACUAGCUAGUGUGCAAGCACUGGCGUAAGCUAACGCGUUAAGUAUCCCGCCUGGGGAGUACGACCGCAAGGUUAAAACUCAAAGGAAUUGACGGGGACCCGCACAACCAGUGGAGCGUGUGGUUUAAUUCGAGACGAAGCGAAAAACCUCACCAAGGCUUGACAUGCUAGAGUUCUAGCCUCCCCAAAAGGAGGCAAUCCGUAAGGAGACUAGCACAGGUGCUGCAUGGCUGUCGUCAGCUCGUGCCGUGAGGUGUUCCCUUAAGUGGGGAAACGAGUGCAACCCUUGUCUAAUGUUAAAUUAUUCAUUAGAGACUGCCUGACUUUUGUCAGGAGGAAGGAAAGGCGGACGUCAAGUCAGCAUGGCCCUUAUGCCUUGGGCUACACACACCCUACAAUGGCGAAUAACAAAGAGUUGCAAGCCGGUAACGGCAAGCUAAUCUCAGAAAUUUCGCCUCAGUUCAGAUAGAGGUCUGAAACUCGACCUCUUGAAGUCGGAAUUGGUAGUAAUCGCGGAUCAGCGGGCCGCGGUGAAUACGUUAUCGGGUCUUGUACACACCGCCCGUCAAGGCAGCAAAGUCGAUAGCUAUUGAACCUCGCUUUCGCGGGGGAGAUAGAGAUUGAUGAUGAGGCUUAAGUCGUAACAAGGUAUCCCUAGCCGAAGCUGGGGAUG
rnacentral:rRNA from 1 species